rnacentral:rRNA from 1 species
CCUACGGGGGGCAGCAGUGAGGAAUAUUGGUCAAUGGGCGGAAGCCUGAACCAGCCAAGUAGCGUGCAGGAUGACGGCCCUACGGGUUGUAAACUGCUUUUAUACGGGAAUAACGCGCCUUACGUGUAGGGCUUUGCAUGUACCGUAUGAAAAAGGACCGGCUAAUUCCGUGCCAGCAGCCGCGGUAAUACGGAGGGUACGGGCGUUAUUCGGAUUUAUUGGGUUUAAAGGGAGCGUAGGCCGCAUGUCAAGCUUGCUGUGAAAUGUCCGGGCUCAGCACGGGCCUUGCAGCGCGAACUGGCGUGCUUGAGGGCGCGGAAAGCAGGCGGAAUUCGGCGUG